rnacentral:rRNA from 1 species
UGGGGAAUAUUGGACAAUGGGGGCAACCCUGAUCCAGCAAUGCCGCGUGUGUGAAGAAGGCCUGCGGGUUGUAAAGCACUUUUGGCAGGGAUGAAAAGCACUGGAUUAAUAACCCAGUGUGUUGACCUAACCUGCAGAAGAAGCACCGGCUAACUCUGUGCCAGCAGCCGCGGUAAUACAGGGGGUGCGAGCGUUAAUCGGAAUUACUGGGCGUAAAGGGCGCGUAGGCGGUCGUAUUAGUCGUUCGUAAAAUCUACGAGCUUAACUUGUAGGCGGCGAACGAAACGGUACGACUUGAGGUUUGGAGAGGUGCGUGGAACUCACGGUGUAGGGGUGAAAUCCGUUGAUAUCGUGGGGAACACCAAAGGCGAAGGCAGCGCACUGGCCAAAAUCUGACGCUCACACACGAAAGCUAGGGUAGCGAAGAGGAUUAGAUACCCUGGUAGUCCCUGAGCGGGCUGGCAAGGCGCAU